rnacentral:rRNA from 1 species
AACGAACGCUGGCGGCAGGCCUAACACAUGCAAGUCGAACGCACCGCAAGGUGAGUGGCGCACGGGUGAGUAACACGUGGGAAUGUAUCCUUUGGUUCGGAAUAACGUCUGGAAACGGACGCUAAUACCGGAUGAGCCCUAUGGGGGAAAGAUUUAUCGCCGAAGGAGCAGCCCGCGUCUGAUUAGGUAGUUGGUGGGGUAAAGGCCUACCAAGCCGACGAUCAGUAGCUGGUCUGAGAGGAUGAUCAGCCACACUGGGACUGAGACACGGCCCAGACUCCUACGGGAGGCAGCAGUGGGGAAUAUUGGACAAUGGGCGCAAGCCUGAUCCAGCCAUGCCGCGUGAGUGAUGAAGGCCUUCGGGUUGUAAAGCUCUUUCGCACACGACGAUGAUGACGGUAGUGUGAGAAGAAGCCCCGGCUAACUUCGUGCCAGCCGCCGCAGUAAAAC